rnacentral:lncRNA from 1 species
GCUAACAGUUUAAGCAAGCAGUGCACUGCACUGCACUUUCUGGGAUCAUGCUCUUUCCUUAUAUAAUGUACAAAUAUAAAUAUAGAGGAUGACACUCACUAACUAGAAAGUUGCAAAAGCUGGAGUUGAUGGAAAAUGUCAUGUAAUUCCAUAGUAUGGGAUUCAUGUGCAGCUGGGCCAAAACACUUACCGAGCAGACUUCUCCAGUAUGUAUUUUAACUUUUCUUACAGGGGUGAAAAUCAGAUUUUGUGUUCAACUCUUGUCAGUCAAAUGGUAUCUUUGUCUGGAGCAUUUCAAAAUGAAUACCCACAGCCAACCUUCGCUGUCAAGAUUAAGACAAUCCCUUCCUAUAUUUGCAUGCAUUUUAGUCAUUCAGUAAAGUCACACCCUUUGAUCCUUCAAUUACGUCUUUUGCAAGAUAGUUUUACAGGAACCUUCAAGAUGAUUAAACGUAUUCAGGGAAUUCAAAAUUGUUUUUUGUUUUUCAGAGAUGAGUCUACCAGUUGUGUUCAUCUGAACAGUUGCUGGCUUCUGGCUGCCUUGGACAGGCUUUUCAACUCUUCUCUGAAGAAGUGAAAGAAUGGAAGAUUUGGGGGAUCUGAAGCAGAUGAAGCAGACAUCAGUCAAAGCCAGCUGCAGAAUAUUCAUAUGAAGGAAGAUUUAGGGAUUCUGGUCUCUGCUACCAAGACUAUUUCUGCCUUUCUUCCAAUGACUGUAUAAUAGAAUAAACAACCAUUUAAGGGAGCA